CCCUUAGAUGUUCUGGGCCGCACGCGCACUACACUGAUCCCGACAACGAGCUCAUGCUUACGCAUCCUGGAUUGAAAAGUCCGGGUAAUCUUAUGAGCCGGGAUCGUGAUGGGGAUAGAUGAUUGCAAUUAUUCGCCUUGAACGAGGAAUGUCUAGUAGGCGCGUUUCAUCAGAACGCACCGAUUAUGUCCCUGCCAUUUGUACACACCGCCCGUCGCUACUACCGAUUGAACGGUUUAGUGAGGGCCUCGGAUUGGUCUCGGCCCGCUCUUUACCGGGCGGCGCCGUUGGUCGAGAAGACGCUCGAACUUGAUCGUUUAGAGGAAGUAAAAGUCGUAACA
rnacentral:rRNA from 1 species